GACGAACGCUGGCGGCGUGCUUAACACAUGCAAGUCGAACGGAAAGGCCCUGCUUUUGUGGGGUGCUCGAGUGGCGAACGGGUGAGUAACACGUGAGUAACCUGCCCUUGACUUUGGGAUAACUUCAGGAAACUGGGGCUAAUACCGGAUAGGAGCUCCUGCUGCAUGGUGGGGGUUGGAAAGUUUCGGCGGUUGGGGAUGGACUCGCGGCUUAUCAGCUUGUUGGUGGGGUAGUGGCUUACCAAGGCUUUGACGGGUAGCCGGCCUGAGAGGGUGACCGGCCACAUUGGGACUGAGAUACGGCCCAGACUCCUACGGGAGGCAGCAGUGGGGAAUAUUGCACAAUGGGCGGAAGCCUGAUGCAGCAACGCCGCGUGCGGGAUGACGGCCUUCGGGUUGUAAACCGCUUUCGCCUGUGACGAAGCGUGAGUGACGGUAAUGGGUAAAGAAGCACCGGCUAACUACGUGCCAGCAGCCGCGGUGAUACGUAGGGUGCGAGCGUUGUCCGGAUUUAUUGGGCGUAAAGGGCUCGUAGGUGGUUGAUCGCGUCGGAAGUGUAAUCUUGGGGCUUAACCCUGAGCGUGCUUUCGAUACGGGUUGACUUGAGGAAGGUAGGGGAGAAUGGAAUUCCUGGUGGAGCGGUGGAAUGCGCAGAUAUCAGGAGGAACACCAGUGGCGAAGGCGGUUCUCUGGGCCUUUCCUGACGCUGAGGAGCGAAAGCGUGGGGAGCGAACAGGCUUAGAUACCCUGGUAGUCCACGCUGUAAACGGUGGGUACUAGGUGUGGGGUCCAUUCCACGGGUUCCGUGCCGUAGCUAACGCUUUAAGUACCCCGCCUGGGGAGUACGGCCGCAAGGCUAAAACUCAAAGGAAUUGACGGGGCCCCGCACAAGCGGCGGAGCAUGCGGAUUAAUUCGAUGCAACGCGUAGAACCUUACCUGGGUUUGACAUGGAUCGGGAGUGCUCAGAGAUGGGUGUGCCUCUUUUGGGGUCGGUUCACAGGUGGUGCAUGGCUGUCGUCAGCUCGUGUCGUGAGAUGUUGGGUUAAGUCCCGCAACGAGCGCAACCCUUGUUCACUGUUGCCAGCACGUUAUGGUGGGGACUCAGUGGAGACCGCCGGGGUCAACUCGGAGGAAGGUGGGGAUGACGUCAAGUCAUCAUGCCCCUUAUGUCCAGGGCUUCACGCAUGCUACAAUGGCUGGUACAGAGAGUGGCGAGCCUGUGAGGGUGAGCGAAUCUCGGAAAGCCGGUCUCAGUUCGGAUUGGGGUCUGCAGCUCGACCCCAUGAAGUCGGAGUCGCUAGUAAUCGCAGAUCAGCAACGCUGCGGUGAAUACGUUCCCGGGGCU
rnacentral:rRNA from 1 species